CCUCAUUACGACUUUUACUUCCUCUAGAUAGUCAAGUUCUACCAUCUUCUCAGCGCUCCACCACGGCCUGACCCCAGUGGGCCUCACUAAACCAUCCAAUUGGUAGUAGUGACGGGCAGUGUGUACAAAGGGCAGGGACUUAAUCAAUGCAAGCUUAUGACCUGCACUUACUGAGAAUUCCUCGUUGGUGGGGAAUAAUUGCAAUCCCCGAUCCCCAUCACGAAUGGGGUUCAAUGGGUUACCCGCGCCUGCCGGGCAUAGUGUAGGCACAUGCUGAGCCAGUCAGUGUAUCUCGCGUGCAGCCCUGGACAUCUAAGGGCAUCACAGACCUGUUAUUGCUCAACGCCACUUGUCCCUCUAAGAAGUUGGGGGACGCCGACUGCUCGGGGGUUGCAUAACUAGUUAUUAUGCCAGAGUCUCUUUCGUUAUCUUAAUUAACCAGACAACUUGCUCUGCCAACUAAGAACAGCCUUACCCCACCAACCACGGAAUCGAGAAAGAGCUAUCAUUCUGUCAAUCCUGUCCAUGUCCAGGCCGCGUGAGGU
rnacentral:lncRNA from 1 species